CUCCAGACUCCUACGGGAGGCAGCAGUGGGGAAUAUUGCACAAUGGGGGGAACCCUGAUGCAGCGACGCCGCGUGAGGGAAGAAGGUUUUCGGAUUGUAAACCUCUGUCCUCUGUGACGAUAAUGACGGUAGCAGAGGAGGAAGCCACGGCUAACUCCGUGCCAGCAGCCGCGGUAAUACGGAGGAUGCGAGCGUUAUCCGGAUUUAUUGGGUUUAAAGGGUGCGCAGGCGGCACGGCAAGCCGGCGGUCAAAUCGCGGGGCUCAACCCCGCCCAGCCGUCGGAACUGCCGGGCUAGAGUGGGCGAGAAGUGCGCGGAAUGCGUGGUGUAGCGGUGAAAUGCAUAGAUAUCACGCAGAACUCCGAUUGCGAAGGCAGCGCACCGGCGCCCUACUGACGCUCAGGCACGAAAGCGUGGGUAUCGAACAGGAUUAGAUACCCCUGUAC
rnacentral:rRNA from 1 species